AACAAUUCAACUAGUCGAAAUCAGCAAGAAGGAAACUGGUCAAAUCAGAGAAAACCCUGGAACCAAGGAAACCAAAGAGGUGGUGGUGUAGUUAGAGGAAGAGGUGGUGGUUAAAAGCCAGACAAGAGUCACAUUCAAUGUUACAAUUGUCAGAAGCAUGGUCACUAUUCUAGUGAUUAUCCAGAAAAGUAGAAGAAUCAAGAAAC
rnacentral:lncRNA from 1 species